rnacentral:lncRNA from 1 species
UAAAAUACUUCAUUCUAACAAAGAAUUAACUUUUCCUCUCACUGAACCGUCUCCUAUGCUGAAUUUAUAGGUACUUUAGGGACAAUUAGUGGCCUAUGCCUGUAGAAUGAAGGCACCAUGCCUAUUUCCAGUCUGAACAUCCCCUCAAUAUCAUUGAGGUUAUUUACCAAAGGCCAAGAACCCAGUCUGGUCAGAAAUUCUCAAAAAAUUCUUGUUAUGCUAUGGUUUUAGUCUCCAAAGUUGGCUCCCCAAUGAACCAUGCCUCCUGGAAUUCACCCCCUUGUGUAAAUCCCCUCCCCUUGAAGCUAUUCUACCCCCUAUAACCCAUUUCAGGCAUCAGAUACAGCAGAGGUGAUGCUGCCUGGCUUCAGAGACUAAGUCAUCCAAAGAUUUCCAGCUUCACCUGGGUCUCUUGGAAUCCUUACUGUGAGGAAAGACAGCCACUAGGUAGGAAAUAUGACCACUCUGGGAUAACCUCAGAGUAGAGUAAACUUUGAAUAAGGCCAAGCUCAUCAAAUAGAGAGGCUACACAGAGAGAGAGAGGCAUGCCUGGCCAAUCAUGGUUUUUCCCACACUCCCAGCCAAAGUGCCAACAUGUGGAUACCAUCUUGAACAUCCAGAGACUUUAGGCAACUCCAUCCGAACCUGACUGCAACUGCAUGAGAUAUGGAGUCCAGUGAAUCCAGAGAACAAUGAGAGACCACAGUAAACAAAGGUUUUAAGCUACUAAAUUUUGGGAUGAGUUGUUACACAGAAAGAAUGAACUAAAAGUUUUACUUUUCAUCAGAGCCAGUCCCCAUACCCUCCUUGGACUCAGAAAUGACUGUUUUCCCCCAGGAUCUCCUUUCAGUCUCAUAAGGAUUCAUAGCAUGUCAAAGUCCAUGCUGAGAGCUAAGAAAGAGCCCUAUGGAACUCCUCUAUGACAAGGGACAUAAAAGGUCCAAAAGGACACAACUACAAGACACAGGUCUGCAGAAGCCACCCUCAGCGUUGACAGCAUGGCUCCCUUUGGUACCAGCAUGGUCCCUUGGGUACCAGCAUGGCUCCCUUUGGCACAAAGGUUACAGCUUCCAGGAAUCAGAAAAAGUGAUGCCAAUUUAAAGGAUUUUCAUAGUCAGAUAUUUUGCUCUGAAGAAACUUCGUUAGAUAUAAAUAAAAUUAAUAUUGAAUCCCUGCUUUACCUUUGAUUUUUAUUUCCUCAAUUUAAAUCCCC